rnacentral:SRP_RNA from 1 species
GCUCGAGCCCUGUGCGACGUGGUCCCGUCAACCCCGCCAGGCCCGGAAGGGAGCAACGGUCCACGGAACGCCACGUGCGCCGCAGGAUCACUUGAGCCCC